rnacentral:tRNA from 1 species
GUGGGGGUGUCAGAUUUAAUGAGUUGAUUUUAAGCGUCAAAUAUAGGAUUAGUUCCUCUCUCAUU